rnacentral:rRNA from 1 species
UACGGAGGGGGCCAGCGUUGUUCGGAAUCAUUGGGCGUAAAGGGCGCGUAGGCGGCUUGGUCAGUCCCGUGUGAAAUCCCUCGGCUCAACUGAGGAACUGCACGGGAAACUGCCUGGCUUGAGUUCGGGAGAGGGAAGCGGAAUUCCGGGUGUAGCGGUGAAAUGCGUAGAUAUCCGGAGGAACACCGGUGGCGAAGGCGGCUUCCUGGACCGACACUGACGCUGAGGCGCGAAAGCUAGGGGAGCAAACGGG